AAAUGAUGAUCUCCUAUAGAUGACGAGUCUGAUUUCGAGGUUUUUCUCGCUGAAGACAAACCAAUAAAUAUUCCAUUCAUGCAUUUCUGAUU
rnacentral:snoRNA from 1 species